AAACUGCACACAGGAAGGCCGGAGCCGGAAUCGAACCCUGCGCCUCUGCACUGUGAGGCAAACGUGCUUACCAGUUGUCCACCGGGGAUCUGAUGCGGCCAGCACAAUUUAGAGCUGAACUCACGCUCACACACUCUGAACUCAAGUGUGUACAACACCUUGUCAUACAACAUUUGUAGCAAUAAAACCUGACAACAAACUAAGACCACCCACCCUCCCUUUGGCAGGAUUAAUCUUACCUUUUUCAUCGGUCUUCUUUUCCCCACCUUGGAGGGACUGUGCUUGGGGGAAAACCAAAAUACUAUUUUUAAUACUGUUCUCACAAAUCAGCCUGAUCUGUUUUCUUGUUUAUGACAUGCAGAAAGGUAACAAGGACAGCUCACUUGUCAACGGUGUGCAAUCACUCAAAAACGAGGAAGUGAUUACAUGACCAAUUCUGGUAAGGAAGUUAAUUAAAGAGUCAAUUGAAACACAGUGAGAACAAAAUUAAUGCUUUGAUUGUGCACCCCUCCUUCCAACCUCUUUGCCAAGAAUGUCAAAUAUUUUCCCGAAACUCAAUCUUGAGUUGUGAUCACAAUGCAAUGCUAAAAAGGGGACCAAUUCUUCAUCACCAGUAUUGGUGACUUUUGUGACUCGAAAAAGACUAAACGAAAGGACAAAUGACUAAAUACAUUUAUAUGAGGACUGAAAGGUCAUUUCGAGUUUAGGUUUCACCAAUGUUGGGAGACUGGGAACAGACAUGGGCAACACGUGAAGAAGUUGUGCCAUGAACCAGACACCGCAAAUAUUCUGCAAGACAGGGACAGUUGCGAAAAACCUCUGAGCAAUCCAACCAUAUUUGAGGAAUGUGCGAUAAAGGGCAGAGGAAAGCCGCUGUAGUGGAUGUAGCGGUCCCAAGUGAUGGAAACAUC